rnacentral:rRNA from 1 species
UACGUAGGGUGCGAGCGUUGUCCGGAAUUAUUGGGCGUAAAGAGCUCGUAGGCGGCUUGUCGCGUCGGAUGUGAAAGCCCGGGGCUUAACUCCGGGUCUGCAUUCGAUACGGGCAGGCUAGAGUUCGGUAGGGGAGAUCGGAAUUCCUGGUGUAGCGGUGAAAUGCGCAGAUAUCAGGAGGAACACCGGUGGCGAAGGCGGAUCUCUGGGCCGAUACUGACGCUGAGGAGCGAAAGCGUGGUGAGCGAACAGG